UUCAUUUUUCUUUCCAAAGAAAAUCAAGAGAGAACCCACUUUGACCUUGGAGAGAUGAAAGGAAAUCAAGAGAGAACCAACGUUAAGCUUGAAGAAGUGAAAG